CUGACCCAGAGUCAGAUGAGGCCCUUUAUCUACUGACCCAGAGUCAGAUGAGGCCCUUUAUCUACUGACCCAGAGUCAGAUGAGGCCCUUUAUCUACUGACCCAGAGUCAGAUGAGGCCCUUUAUCUACUGACCCAGAGUCAGAUGAAGCCCUUUAUCUACUGACCCAGAGUCAGAUGAGGUCCUUUAUCUACUGACCCAGAGUCAGAUGAGGCCCUUUAUCUACUGACCCAGAGUCAGAUGAGGCCCUUUAUCUACUGACCCAGAGUCAGAUGAGGCCCUUUAUCUACUGACCCAGAGUCAGAUGAGGCCCUUUAUCUACUGACCCAGAGUCAGAUGAGGCCCUUUAUCUACUGACCCAGAGUCAGAUGAGGCCCUUUAUCUACUGACCCAGAGUCAGAUGAGGCCCUUUAUCUACUGACCCAGAGUCAGAUGAGGCCCUUUAUCUACUGACCCAGAGUCAGAUGAGGCCCUUUAUCUACUGACCCAGAGUCAGAUGAGGCCCUUUAUCUACUGACCCAGAGUCAGAUGAGGCCCUUUAUCUACUGACCCAGAGUCAGAUGAGGCCCUUUAUGUACUGACCCAGAGUCAGAUGAGGCCCUUUAUCUACU